rnacentral:rRNA from 1 species
UACAGAGGGGGCAAGCGUUGUUCGGAAUUACUGGGCGUAAAGGGCGCGUAGGCGGCCUGCUAAGUCGAACGUGAAAUCCCUGGGCUCAACCCAGGAACUGCGUCCGAUACUGGUUGGCUUGAAUCCGGGAGAGGGAUGUGGAAUUCCAGGUGUAGCGGUGAAAUGCGUAGAUAUCGGAAGGAACAUCAGUGGCGAAAGCGACUUCCUGGACCAGUACCGACGUUCAGGCACGAAAGCGUGGGGAGCAAGCAGG